ensembl:misc_RNA Metazoa_SRP Metazoan signal recognition particle RNA
GCCAGGUGCGGUGGCGCAUGCCUGUAGUCCCAGCUCCUCGGGAGGAUGAGACAGGAGGAUCGCUUGAGUCCAGGAGUUCUGGGCUGUAGUAUACUAUGCCAAUCGGGUUCCCACACUAAGUUCGGCAUCAAUAUGAUGACCUGGGAGCGGGGGACCACCAGGUUGCCUAAGGAGGAGUGAGCUGGCCCAGGUUGGAAAUGGAGCAGGUCAAAACUCCAGUGCUGAUCAGGAAAGGAAAAAGUAUUUACAACCUUAUAGAUAGAGACUAUUCAAAAGGGGCCACUUCU